GGGGGUGCGUUAUCAAUAUUGUCUAAAAAUCCCAGAAGGGACAUGCGGUCGACACUCACCCAGAUUCCUACCGCCAGUAACACAACACCUGCCAACUGCAAUGAGGAAGAGCAAUUGAUUUAUUCAGGAGGGUGGAGGGAAGCCCGUCGUAGAGUCCUCGACACUGCCGUCCACCCAGGGGAGCGCUGCUGCCAUCCGCCGGGGGACGGAGUAGCCCGACCGCCCGGACGCGGGGAACAGCCGCCGUCUGCGGGGUGAGGAGGGACUGGACUCCCCGAAUGCCUGGAGCGAUGGAGCCACUGCCAGAUGCGGCGGAGUGCCCUUCCAGCCGCCAGAAAAUGUGGAGGGGUCGAGGGGAGGAGGGAGUCGACUGCCCGACCGCCUGGAGUGGUAGGACCGCUGCCAGAGGCGGAGGAGUGUCCCCACAGGUCACCAGAAUCAUGGAGGGGCAUUCUGUCUGCUGGGGGUCAGAGCGGCUGUUGUCCACCUGAGAGGGUGGAGGAGUGAUCGAGGACCACGUGACGGCACAUCAGAGAACCGGUUGAAGGGUGCAAGGAGAGGGCAUCGGCUCCCGGCCUGAGGCAGGGAGGAGUGUAGCAUGGAGGAGGGCGGGGACAGGCCAUAAUGACGCACGCCUGGACCCCAAUCAGCCUGAUGAUGCCAGCGAGGGAUGAAGGCGAAUGGAGACAGCAGUACGAGAG